AAAAAUGUGUCUUUCCCUCUGUCUUUACACGACGACGGACUUCCUCCCAUCGGCGAACGAUGGCAGCAGCUGCAGUGGCAAUGUCUCUCCGGUGGCAGUGGCAACAUCUUCCUCUAGUGGCAAUGACAAUGGCGACGUCUUCCUCCGACUGCGGCAGUGACGUCUUCCUUCGACGGUAGCGGCGGUGGCUUCUACCCCUCCUGGUAUAUCUCUCUCUUUCUCCUCCCUUCUCCCUCCUCCUACCUCUGCCCCCGUUCACUAUAGGCCCUUGCCCCCCCCUCCCCUGAUCCCUCUUCCCUUGUUGCUACAGCUCACCCCCUUCCUCGGAUCAUAACCUUCUUCUCUCUUCCCUCUUCCCUUGUUGCUGCACCUCUUCUCUUGUUGUCGCAUUUCCCCUCUCCCCUCUUCCCUCUUCCCUUGCUGUUGCAGCUCUCCCUAUCCAACAAUCACCCUUGUUGUUGCAGCUCCCCUUAUCCAACAGUGGUCGCUCCCCUAUCCAACAGUCACUGCUAGCAUCUUUUCAGUCAUCGGCAGCCAUCCUCCUCCUAUGCUAAUAUUUUUAUUAAUAUAACAUGUAAAUUUUGUAUUUGUUAGUAUUUGUAAAUGGAUUGUUGCUGCAACUUUAGAAUCAUGAUAUAUAAUUUAUUUUUGUUGGUGUUAGUAUUUAUUUUAGUUUUAGUUUAUUUUUAUUAAUUAUGAUAUAUAAUUUUUAAAUUAUAAUGUUCUGGAGGGUCUCUCUUCCCUCGGGUGAGCAUCUUGCACAUUGGGCAUUUUGGGACCGUUUUGGCGCUUGGCAUUUUUGACCACAUUGGGUUAUUGUUAGAACCCUUGCAGAUUCUAAACUUGGGGUUGAUCUCUUUAGGGGAUCGGUCUCCUUGGAACUCUAUAGGGGUUCCUCCCUCCAAGUUGCUGCUCAAAGGCUGCAGAAAAGAUUCAUCUAUUGUUUAUGAAAAGAGGUGGAAUACAUGACUAUUUAUAGGGCUUCUAAACCCUAACUCCUAAUAGGACUCUUACUUAAGACUCCUACUUCUAACUAACUCCUAUUAGGACUCCUACUCAAGAAUCCUAUUCCUUUACAACUCUUUAUUCUUCUCUAAGAAAUAACCUCCUAACCCUAGCCGGCCACUUCACCUCUUUAAUAGGGGUCGGCUUAGGUAGGUUUUACAUGAAUGUCCCUCUCAAUUAGGACUCUCCUAGCUAGAGUCCUAACAAACCCGCCCUCUUCAAAUCAGCCUUGUCCUCGAGGCUGACGAUUCAUGAAUUUACACAGACAUAAGACACUUAUUACACAGACAUAAGACACUUAUGAGAAUUUGAUCAUCAAGUCAUCAUAGUUCUCCCAAGUGACAUCUUCUGUUAGUAGGUUUGCCUACUGUAUUAGCAAUUCAGUAGUGGAUCGUCAUUGUCGAGUCACAAUCCGUCGAUCAAUAAUGGCACUUAGCUGAGUCUGAAGUUCUCCUUGGGUUGUCAUAUUUGGUGGGUGGCUUUGGGCUGUCUCCAAGCACCUAUUUACAACUUUCGUCUGGCCGUCGGUUUGUGGGUGAUAUGCCAUACUUCUUUUCAAUUUAGUACUCUGCAUAUGGAAUAACUUUGUCCAAAAUCGGCUCGUGAAGAUGCAAGUAGAAUUUAUCAUAAACACAAUGCGUCCCUUAUAGUGUAAUUCUUUUGAGUCCCAAUUGUAAUGAGCCAUGGGGCUUGGUGCUUCCUCCAAUUUUUUUAUAAUCUUACAAGUCUCUGAAUCUUCCUGCCAUUCCAUCUUAAUAUCCUUAAGAAAGUUGUUGGUCGGAAGUGAAACGGCCGAAACUUCAACUUGCUCAGGUAGCUGCGAAAGCGCAUCUGCAAGAACAUUCUCUUUCCCCUUUUUGUAAGUUAUUUCAUAAUCAAAUCCAAGAAGUUUUGUUACCUAUUUUUGCUGCUCAGGGGAUGAUAUCUUUCGCUCCAAAAAGUACUUGAGGCUUUUAUGGUCGGUUUUAAUUUGAAAUCGUUGGCUAAUCAAGUAGGGUCUCCACCUCGUUGCUGCGCGCACAAUGACGAGCAUCUCUUUAUCAUAUGUUGACUUAUUUUGAUGGGAGGGAGAUAAUGCCUUGCUAGUGUAUGUGAGUGGUCGACCAUCUUGCAUGAGAAUGGCUUCAAUUCCGACUCCAGAUGUGUCGGCCUCAAUAAUGAAGGGUCAGUUGAAAUCUGGUAGUGUUAGCACCGGCGUCGUCGUCAUGGCUGCCUUAAGUUUGUCGAAGGCUGCGGAGGCUCUAUCCGACCAUUGGAAGACAUCUUUUUUCAGUAAGGAAGUAAGUCGUGCACUGAUCUCUCCAUAGUUUUUCACGAACUUGCAGUAGUAGCCUAUUAAACCCAGAAAGCCAUGUAGCAAUUUUAUGUUCCUCGGGGUCAGCCAGUUUUGCAUUGCUCCAAUUUUGAAGGGGUCUACUGCCACACCUUCCUCUGAUAUGCCCAAGAUAUUCCACCUUCUUUUGAAGAAAGCAAAAAAUCAUAGUGGUUGUUGUGUGUUCAAAAGGUGGUUUUCGGUAUGCCUUCUUCGCAUACUCGUAUUUGAUGAUACCUGGAUCGAAGGUCCAGCUUUGUGAAGAUUUGUGCUCCCUUUCAUCUAGCAAUUCAUUUACUACUGGAAUAGGGUAUUUAUCCUUGAUGGUUAUGUCAUUGAGAGCUCGGUAGUCAACACAUAAUCGCCAUAUUCCGUCCUUCUUUCGUAUGGGGAGCACCGGUGAAGAGUAGGGGUUGCAACAUGGCCGAAUAACUCCUGUUUCGAGCAUCUCUUUUACAAUCCAUUUUAUUUCAUCCUUCUGGAGAUGUGGAUACUGAUAUGGCUGAGCAUUUGCUGGAGGUUUGCCUGGAAGAAUCGUUAUAUAAUAAUCAUGCCGGCGGGUAAGAGGUAGGUUGCGCAGUUCGUCAAUUAUAUCUGAAAAUUCAGCAAGCAAAGGAAGUAGAUUUGGAUCUUCAAAUUCUGUUGGCUCUUCCUUAGUUUGCUGCUCAAGUUGUACCAAAAAACAACUGUAUGCUUUACGCAAAACCUUCUCCAUUUGUUGUGUGCUAAUCAUCGUUACGUCGCCCCCACGUUUCCCAUGCAGUAUCACCUGUUUCUCCUUACUGUAAAAUUUCAUAAUUAGUUUCAUAAAAUUCCAAGAAAAAUCACAUAAUGUUGUCAACCAUUUAAUUCUGAGCAUGGUCUCAUGAUCAUCAAGAGGGAGAAGGAAGAAAUCUGUAAUUAUCUCUUGGUAAGGCCUUAUGAUCAGCAACAGUUUCACUUGCGGGCGCCUACGAUCAUACUUCAAAAUCCAACCAUUGGCGGCCUUAACGUCAAACCUGCUGCAAUUCUCGAUAGAUAAAGCCAUCUGGACCGCAACCAUACUGUUUAUAAAGUUAUUAGUACUGCCCAUGUCGAUGAGAACAGUGAUCGGUUGUUGUUUGAGAAGGCCUCCAACUUUCAUCGUUUGCGGGUUUGAGUAGCCGACUAGUGCAUGUACCGUAACUUCAGUCGAUUGUGGCUCUUCUUCUGCAUCUUCUCUUUCAUGUUCAAGGCUCUCUUCUGGAUGUUCAAUGACCUCUUCUUCUAUUGGUUCAAUCUUAAGAAGUCUCUCUUUACUACAGCGAUGCUCACGGCUCCACAGCUCGUCGCAAUGCCAACAUAACCCCUUCGUAUAUCGCUCCCGAAGCUCUUCUCUUGUUAACCUCUUUGGUGUAGGGACUCGGUCGAUAAUAGGGGGGGCUGGGGGCUUCAAUAUUGCUAGUUGAGGAGCGACCCUAGUCCUCCGAGCUUCAUGGUUCAGUUGCUCCUCUUGAUGUCGUACGAAUGAGAUGGCUGCCAUAAGCGUGUACGGUUGUCGUGCUUUAACUUCUCCUCGGAUCUCCGGCUUCAAGCCUUCAACGAAGGUCCUCAAUAGCUGUUUUUGAGACCAAUCAUGAGUUUGAUUAGAUAACCUUUCAAACCUGGUUUAGUACUCCUGAAUGGUGGAGGUUUGUCGAAUCUUUACUAGUUGUUCGUCAAUAUUCUCGUAAUUCGUUGGUCUGAAGCGGAUCAACAGUCCUUCUUUGAAUUGUCGCCAUGAAAGGACUCCAUAAGUAUGUUCAAACCAGUCAAACCACUGUAUGGCAUCCCCUUCAAGAUGUAUAGCUGCAAUUUUCACCAUAGAUGCGUCUGCGGUUUUGUGGUACCGAAAAUAUCGCUCCGCGCGCGAGAUCCAACCAAUCGGGUCUCCUUCCCAUCUAGGAAAAUUUACCCUCAUGCAUGGAUAGUUGGGGUCAGUCAUAGAGCCUCCCCUCCCUUGGAACUCAUCUCUUAGGGCCUGGUGCGAUUGGGCAAAGCUCUCUCCUUGAUAUGAUUUUUUCGGGCUUAGUGGUCGGCCCAAUCUGAGUUCGGUAAAGAGCGUCCGAAUCUUAUCCUCCAUUCGCGCCUCCAAGGCUUCGAAUUUAGCAUUGAUUGCCUCCUUAGAUGCCAUAGUAUAUGCCUCCAAAUCUAUGAUGUUAAGAUCUCUCUUUUGUUGUUAGGUUAAAGGCAUGUAUAGGUUGAGAGAAGUGAUGGUCGAAAGGGUUGGUGGAUCGGUGGAUAUAGGCUACGAUUUAGGCUUGUUUUUUGGUUGUUUUGGGUGCAGUUUGAGGGUGUGGUUUAGUGGAGUUUUAGGGCUGUGGAUGAAAGUUUUGGAUCUGUGGUAGAUGGCAGCAAAGGUUUGAUAGAAAUCAGUGGAAGUUGCAGCAAGUAUGUGCUGUCUUGUAAGAGUAGAAUUGUCGUCGAAGAAACAANNNNNNNNNNNNNNNNNNNNAGUAAGGUAGAAAACCAGAACCUGUUGCAAUUCACGGGGAGAUCAAAGGAUGAUCCGUGGUGGUGGAGAUGACGACGGAAUUUGGGAACGACUCUUAAGCAAUUGUGGGAAUUGCUUUGGGCGGUUGUGGAGGGUUGAUGGAUGGCUGUGGAAGGACAGCGAGACGCCAAGAACGUUGCUCUGAUACCAGGUGUUAGAACCCUUGCAGAUUCUAAACUUGGGGUUGAUCUCUUUAGGGGAUCGGUAUCCUUGGAACUCUAUAGGGGUUCCUCCCUCCAAGUUGCUGCUCAAAGGCUGCAGAAAAGAUUCAUCUAUUGCUUAUGAAAAGAGGUGGAAUACAUGACUAUUUAUAGGGCUUCUAAACCCUAACUCCUAAUAGGACUCUUACUUAAGACUCCUACUUCUAACUAACUCCUAUUAGGACUCCUACUCAAGAAUCCUAUUCCUUUACAACUCCUUAUUCUUCUCUAAGAAAUAACCUCUUAACCCUAGCCGGCCACUUCACCUCUUUAAUAGGGGUCGGCUUAGGUAGGUUUUACAUGAAUGUCCCUCUCAAUUAGGACUCUCCUAGCUAGAGUCUUAACAGUUAUAUAAUCAUUUAGACUUGCCAUUGGGCUCUCAGUAGUGUGAAAGAAUUUUCAGAGUUGUAGCUUUUAUCUUCUCUUUAUUUUUUUGGACAAUGACUUUAUCUUGUGAUCCUCUAAUUAGCUGACAAGACUUCUCUGUCAUAAAUAAGUGCAUUCACAAAGUGGCCUUUGUUUGUGGGAGACAACUUGGAAUCUAUCAAUCACAAAUGCAGCUGACUGUUUGUUUGGACGUAUAGUGGAAGACUGGCAUUCUGGUAUGUGAUGUUGUUUUGUUCUGGUUAUGGUUGCCAGACAGCAGUGAUUUGGUCCAUUAGAUACAAACUUGCAAGUUCAUGCAGCCUCCUCAACAAGGGAGGAUGUCUCUUUGAUGCUUGAUGGCAUCACCACAUGCCAAUUUAUGAUGUCGUUCUGAAGUAUCAAAAUGGUGAUGGGGCUGCGGUACUAAUGCUAGAACAUGUAUAUCUUAGAGGUUUGGCUCAUUCCUAGAAGCACGUGUAAGGUGGGCACCCUAUAUGUGCUCAAAGCACCUGUAUUGGAUGCCAUUUCAAGGCCAUUAUACUAAGUUGAGAAUGGAUCAUAGCUCGGGCCAACUUUGGGACGUGAGUUUGAGAAUAUCGUAGACUAUUGCGAUGUUGCCUAUUUUGCUUCUGAGCCAAGUGUAUCAGUCUUGUAGAAGCACAUUUGCUGGUGAGACUGCCUCGUAAGUGGUAGUUUAUAGAAAGAGAUGUGUGGUAGGAAAUGUUUUGUCAUAGUUAUCAGAUGGUGGUCGGAUUGAAAAAAUCAGGAAUUAGACUAUUAAUUGGUGUCAGUCACAGAAUGGAUUGAUUGUGUCAAAACAAGAAUGAACUGGUCGACCAGGUUUGAUUUUGGUGAAUCUGCUUGACUCGACCAUGACUCGAUUCUGUAACAUUAUGUUACUUAAAUGUAUUUUUAAUUUAAAUUGUUUUAUUAUUUGUUUCAUAGGAUGUUCAUGUUAAUUUUGAGAAACUGUGUUUGAUCAGAUCAGUUUGUUGGUUCAGUUAUGAUAACUGAGUUUUGCAACAAUCCCUGCUUUCAAAUCUAUCUUAGAAAUUUUUAUUUCUUUCUUAAAUUUGUAUGAGAAAUGGAAGGUGUUAAUUUUAAUCGAAGAUCCUGGCACUUGUAGAAUAUCAAUCUUAAGAAUUCAACAUUGAAAUAAUAAUUAAUCCAGUGAAAUAAUCUUCCAUUAAUUUUGUGUUGCAGCUUGGAAGCCUAAUUGGUCACCCUCUUGGUGGAUUAUAGAAUAUAUGGUUCUACAUGUUGUCAUUGCUUUGUGGUAGAUAAGGGAUUGAGAGUAGAGUGAUGGCAGAAUCUUUAAUCAAGAAGUAAUCAUAAUCAUAUUCUUCGAUCUCUAUUAAAAUUAAGACUGGUUUCAGGUUUAAGUUCACGUGCGAGCAUCAUGAAUUAUGUUAUUUAAUAUAAUGAAUUCAUGUCUCCUUUUCCUGAUUUUACAAAGCUUAUAAUUCACCAUUGCUCUUCAUUUUUUUUGAAGUGAAGCCUUAAAAGUAUUACUUAGAGGAGACUGUAAAUAGGUCUUUUAUGUGAACAUGGGUAUUGUAAUUAGGUCUUUUAUGUAUCCUCCAGGCAAUCAAUUUAAUUAUUGACUUGUUAAUUCUAUGUUUAUUUAUUUAAAUUGCACAUUGAGUUAUUGAGAUAAUUUCUAUAAUUUUUGUUACUUGCGAGGUAAAUCCCAGGGCAUAACGAUCUCAGUUUAAUUUUGACUUAUUAAUGUUUUCUUUAUGAUCUUUUUUCCAUACACUUGCUCUGUAUUGGCUAAUGACCAACUAGUUGUUUGGUUACACCUUAGAAAACAAAGUAAAUUCCUUGAAAAAAAAUUGGCAUUUGUAAUAGAAUCCAAUUAAUUGGGUGAAACUCAAUCUUUCGUGCAAACAAGAGUUUGGAGGUUUGCCGCUUUUGAUGCUUAAUUAGAAAUUGAGAAAGAGUUGAUGCUUAUCUUUUUUUGCUGCAUGUUCGAUUUGUUUUGUUUCGUACGCCUUGAUCAAUUAUAAAAUUUUGAUUUAUAGUAAAAUAUGUGUCAAAUUUCUUCUACAGAUCUCUAAUUGUAUAAUCAAUCAGAUCAUUGUCAUCAACAAAAAAUCUUUAGCAUGUUUAUUAUGAAAAAAAUUCAAAGUUGCAUAACUCAAUAGAAUAGUAGUUGAGUUUUUAAUGUCAACGUCACCGACGUUUAGAUCUCCGGCCAUCAAUAGUUGGAGAUCUUCUGUUUUAAACAUAAAAGAACAUGAAAUUUAAUCUCUUAAGUAUUCUAAACCGAGCUCUAGGAUCUGCAAAGGUCAGGAUUUGACUAAAAGAGCUGGUUGAUUCUUAGAGCUAUCAAUUUACUGUCUAUGACCUGUCUCAAAGGAGAUAUGGUAUUCAAUGGAGUAGGAUUAAUCCUUCAUCCAUGUAUUCCAAGACUAUAUAUUAUAAGCUAUAAACUAUGACAAGGGUGUGAGUGUGAAGACUUUUAGGAGAUUGUGUUACUACGCUCUAUCAGUAGAAAUGUCACUUUGUUUUGAUUUUUUGUUGAGAGGUGCUUCACCUACUCAUGCUUUGUCUGAACACUUUUUGAAUUAUCAGAGUUCCCUUUCUUUGAAAAAAUAUAUAAAAAAAGUCAUAUAUAGAUUAUAUAAAUUGCAUAGUUAUGGUGCUUUUAAUGCAAGAAUCGAACAUGGGAGGUAUGUUUUGGUGGAUGCAAUUAAAUCCUAGAUAAAAGCUGUUGGAGAAAUGAUCUUAGUGUGUUUUUCUAUAAAAUUAGAAUAUAAUUUUUAUUUAUUGUGUAAUAAUGUACUAACCAAUUUGGAUGCGAAGGAUGCAAGACAAAUGAGUUUAUUGUGAUACUUACUAUACUUUACGAGAAGAUAUAUAAAAAUUAUUAGUGGAAUUUAAUGUUAAAUUACUAGUUAGGAUUUCACAUAACAAAGAACAAACAUUACGGUGUGUUUUGAACUAUAAUAAAACCAUUUUUAAUGUUGUGAAACAUUUUGAACAUCAUUAAAUUUUCUAGUCUAUAAAAGGAGACGUUACAUGUGCCAAAACUUCAAAACUAGAUAGAUGGCUUUGGACAAAAGAUUGAUCCAUCGAAAGGUGUUUCCUUUUGUGCUCUAAGGAACAUGGAGUAGUUUGGUACCAUGAUGUUAGCUUUGCUGUAAUAUCGAAUAUUGUUUUUGAAAAAUAAAACAAAAAAAGUCUGUAACUUCACCAAGUUUUUCACAUUAUAUUAAUAAAUUAUUUAUUUUAAAAAUAAAUUGUGAAUUAUUCCAUUUAAAAAAUUAUAUUUUUCAUUGUUAAGACUCGGAAGUCGAAGGAUCAAAACCAUCCUCAUCACUUGUUAUUUAUAAUUUCUUUUCAUUAAAUUUGAUUGGGACAGUACUUCUAUAAUGCAUUUUCAGCACACUCUCAUAUUAGGAAAGUCAAUAUGAAAUUUUUAUCUUUCCUUUUUCUUGACAUUUUUGUUAGAUCGAGUAAAGUCAAGUCUUGGUUUAGUUUAAAUUUGUUUAUCCUGACAUUAUUGACUACACUUGUGUUCCAAUUUAUUCAAUGUUGUGGAAUAAAGAUAAACCUCUUAUAUGCACUGUACCAUUAUCUACACUCGUGUUUCUAUUUUCAUUUUCUGAAGUUGCAUCGAACAAUAUUUUAAUCUAUUAUUAGGUGACAAUGUUCUCUUAUCUUCUUUUUUCUUAACAGAAAAUUCUAUUUGAUCUUAUGGGAGCGCCUCUAAAAAUUCAUUAUUUGUUACGGCAGCAAAUGCUUUUUACCAUUUCAUUGUUUUAAUUAUUCUAAUUCGAGGAAAUCUUUCAUCUUAACUUCACAUCUAGUAAUCUUUUUCACCGAGUUUGGUUUUUUAGAAAUCUUUGAUGAUGAUGAUGAUGAUGAUGAUUGAUGAUGAUGAUGAUGAUGUUUCAGCUUCUUUGAUGAUCGUCAUAGCUACAUUGCAGACCCUUCAGCUCAGCUGGAAGCAUAGAGAUUCUUAGAAAGCUCAUUUCAACCAACGAAAAGUAACA
rnacentral:lncRNA from 1 species